rnacentral:rRNA from 1 species
GGCUCAGAUUGAACGCUGGCGGCAGGCCUAACACAUGCAAGUCGAGCGGUAGCACAGAGAGCUUGCUCUCGGGUGACGAGCGGCGGACGGGUGAGUAAUGUCUGGGAAACUGCCUGAUGGAGGGGGAUAACUACUGGAAACGGUAGCUAAUACCGCAUAAUGUCGCAAGACCAAAGUGGGGGACCUUCGGGCCUCAUGCCAUCAGAUGUGCCCAGAUGGGAUUAGCUAGUAGGUGGGGUAACGGCUCACCUAGGCGACGAUCCCUAGCUGGUCUGAGAGGAUGACCAGCCACACUGGAACUGAGACACGGUCCAGACUCCUACGGGAGGCAGCAGUGGGGAAUAUUGCACAAUGGGCGCAAGCCUGAUGCAGCCAUGCCGCGUGUGUGAAGAAGGCCUUCGGGUUGUAAAGCACUUUCAGCGGGGAGGAAGGCGUUAAGGUUAAUAACCUUGGCGAUUGACGUUACCCGCAGAAGAAGCACCGGCUAACUCCGUGCCAGCAGCCGCGGUAAUACGGAGGGUGCAAGCGUUAAUCGGAAUUACUGGGCGUAAAGCGCACGCAGGCGGUCUGUCAAGUCGGAUGUGAAAUCCCCGGGCUCAACCUGGGAACUGCAUUCGAAACUGGCAGGCUAGAGUCUUGUAGAGGGGGGUAGAAUUCCAGGUGUAGCGGUGAAAUGCGUAGAGAUCUGGAGGAAUACCGGUGGCGAAGGCGGCCCCCUGGACAAAGACUGACGCUCAGGUGCGAAAGCGUGGGGAGCAAACAGGAUUAGAUACCCUGGUAGUCCACGCCGUAAACGAUGUCGAUUUGGAGGUUGUGCCCUUGAGGCGUGGCUUCCGGAGCUAACGCGUUAAAUCGACCGCCUGGGGAGUACGGCCGCAAGGUUAAAACUCAAAUGAAUUGACGGGGGCCCGCACAAGCGGUGGAGCAUGUGGUUUAAUUCGAUGCAACGCGAAGAACCUUACCUGGUCUUGACAUCCACAGAACUUAGCAGAGAUGCUUUGGUGCCUUCGGGAACUGUGAGACAGGUGCUGCAUGGCUGUCGUCAGCUCGUGUUGUGAAAUGUUGGGUUAAGUCCCGCAACGAGCGCAACCCUUAUCCUUUGUUGCCAGCGGUUCGGCCGGGAACUCAAAGGAGACUGCCAGUGAUAAACUGGAGGAAGGUGGGGAUGACGUCAAGUCAUCAUGGCCCUUACGACCAGGGCUACACACGUGCUACAAUGGCAUAUACAAAGAGAAGCGACCUCGCGAGAGCAAGCGGACCUCAUAAAGUAUGUCGUAGUCCGGAUUGGAGUCUGCAACUCGACUCCAUGAAGUCGGAAUCGCUAGUAAUCGUAGAUCAGAAUGCUACGGUGAAUACGUUCCCGGGCCUUGUACACACCGCCCGUCACACCAUGGGAGUGGGUUGCAAAAGAAGUAGGUAGCUUAACCUUCGGGAGGGCGCUUACCACUUUGUGAUUCAUGACUGG